rnacentral:lncRNA from 10 species
CCAGCUUCCAGGAGACAAUGGCCUGAAGAGAAAGCCCCAGUCACCCCAGGGGAGGCAGGGAAGCAUCUACCUCUGGCUCUAUCUCUAGCAUCAUUCUUUCUCUCUGGGUCUCUGAGUUCUUAGGUCAGGGAUGGUGUCUCUCUUGCUAAUAGCCCUGUCUCCAGAAGCACACAGGCUUGGCACACACUCUAGAGGCUAGAAAUUGGCAGUCAGGAUGUGUGUAAGGCCACGCUCCCUCUGAAGACUCCAGGGGAGGAUCUUUCCUUGCCUCCUCCAGCUUCUGGUGGCUGCCAGCAUCCUUGGCAUUCCUUGGCCUGUGGACACAUCACUCUCAUCUCUGCCCAUGGUCACAACCCCAAGCUCCAGAAUACAGACCAGCAGGCGAGGAGACAAGGAGGCAAGCAGAUGGAUGGUGGAACAAAGUGGCAGAGAAAGAGAGAAGAGGAGAGAUGUCUGGACGCCAAGAGGAGUCUGGCUGGGGCCAGUCAGAGAAGAGUCCAGCGGCUGGGCAGCCCGACUCCAGGGGAAGAUCACCUUCCCACUCCAUCCCCCUUCACGCUCCCCAUCCAUCUCACUAAGAGCCAUCUCUACCACUCAAUAAAACCUUGCAUUCAUCCUUCAA